GGCCCUGUGGUGGAAUGGGAUACACACUAGUCUUAGAAACUAGCGCCGAAAGGAUUGAGGGUUCAAGUCCCUCUGGGGCCACCA
rnacentral:tRNA from 1 species